rnacentral:rRNA from 1 species
CUCCUGAAGGAACGUUAAAGACGAUGACGUUGAUAGGUCGGGUGUGUAAGCGUAGCGAUACGUUGAGCUAACCGAUACUAAUGAACCGUGAGGCUUAACCUU